AAAUCUUCAAAGUAAAUCUUUUGUUAACUCAAUUGGUUCUACUUUGGUAUUGGAGGUCUUUGCAGCUUCACACCUGCUCCUCUUUGUUCAUUAGCUGGAUCUCAGUGUUAUGCUUGGUUCCACUCAGCGUGAUAAGUUAUCUAUCGCUGAGGACACUGUAACAGGUGGCCAAGGGAAAUGCAGAUGAACCGCUUCUAAUGGUCCAUUCACUUGGACACUAUUUUUAUG
rnacentral:misc_RNA from 1 species